rnacentral:rRNA from 1 species
CCUACGGGAGGCAGCAGUGAGGAAUAUUGGUCAAUGGACGAGAGUCUGAACCAGCCAAGUAGCGUGAAGGAUGACUGCCCUAUGGGUUGUAAACUUCUUUUAUAAAGGAAUAAAACGACGCACGUGUGCCUUUUUGCAUGUACUUUAUGAAUAAGGAUCGGCUAACUCCGUGCCAGCAGCCGCGGUAAUACGGAGGAUCCGAGCGUUAUCCGGAUUUGUUGGGUUUAAAGGGAGCGUAGAUGGGUUGUUAAGUCAGUUGUGAAAGUUUGCGGCUCAACCGUAAAAUUGCAAUUGAUACUGGCAGUCUUGAGUACAGUAGAGGUAGGCGGAAUUCGUGGUGUAGCGGUGAAAUGCUUAGAUAUCACGAAGAACCCCGAUUGCGAAGGCAGCUUACUAAACUGUGACUGACAUUGAGGCUCGAAAGUGUGGGUAUCAAACAGGAUUAGAUACCCCUGUAGUC